UAUCCUCCAAACGCAUCUCCUUCCUCGUUUCUUGAUCCGCUAGGGUUUCAUCCGCAACUUUGUAGAUCUGUGCUCCUUUUUGACAAAGCAACGGUAUUGCUUCUAUUGUAAAUGAUGGAAGCAGAGAUUGGAAAGCACAUACUAGCUAGUUGUUCAGGACUUAUAGGGGAAAGUAGAGAUCGAGUGCAGGUGCAGGGGUAGGCACGUAGCUAGAAAAUGCCUGCGGUGCCUGAAAAUUCAGGUCAAUGGUCUGAUGUGUCUGCUUGCGUGCAUCACAUACUGAAGAUUUAGCUACUUAAGGUUCAAUCUUUCUUCAAUGUUUGGUGUUUUCUAUUUGUUGCAAUGCAUUCAGCUUAUUUCUUUAGUAGUAGACUCUUAUCUAAAUAUUACAGGCACUUAUGGUGUUGAAUGCGUCAAUAAUUGCAUAUGCUGCACUAGCAGUUGAAAAUUGGAAACGUCGGCGCUUGGCGUAAUCUGUGCUUAGUUUUCCCAAAGUAGCUAGGCACUGAUUAGGGAAAGGAUAGCAAUGGUGAUUGUUGUUCCAUCUUACUGAAAGCAAUAGUGUAUUAUAUUUACCUAAAAUAUAGCAAGAAGAGCGGUUUAUCCAAAUUGUUGUAUUCUGCCAUUUACUAGUUCGUAUUUAGCCCUGUGUGAAUCUGGAUUGCACUGGACUAAGUAUCGGCUACUUGCUGAACUUUCAGAUCUCAAGACUGGAUACGGUUUUGUUCUUUUACGUGUGAGUGCAUCUUGUGUUCUGUUCUUUUGCCUCCUAGUAGUACAGGAGUGGCAGCUUGGUCUUUUCAUCUUUCCAGAAGUAAGGCCAUCAUGUAUUUUAGUUUUAAGCCUCCUGCUAGCUGAUAGUGCGUUUCAAUGUUGCUAGCUGAUAGUGUGUUUCAAUGUUGAAGAUUGAUUUAAUUGCUUUAUAUGGCAUGCCUUAACUGUAGCUCUUGGUUUGAUAUUUCACAUGCUGUUUGGAGCUCUUGUUAGCUGGAUAAUUAGCAUGUGAUUUAUCCGUGCCUUGUCGCUUUGCUUUCGCAUUGUCUUAAAAAAAAUUCCUAAUUGUUCCUAGGCUGACAUAUCCCUAGUUUGUGUUUGUGAUCAUGGCAAGUAGAAGGCACAGAGAGGUGUUUUAUAGAGGUCUAAGCGCAUCAACCCACGCACACACAAGAAAUGUAUUGUUUCAGUUGGAAUUUCCAUUUGCCAACAGCCAAACCACCUGCAAUGAGCAAGAGCAACACUGACAGUUGACAUAUCAGGCGUUGCCGCUGACAGUUGUCAUCUCAGCUAGCUGAAGACAUUCCAGAGUCCUUUGUGGAAAUAGUGCAUGAUUUGAGAUGAGUCUGGUGAUACUUGAGUGCCUAGUAUUGUGUGGGCAUGACCACAUGAAGGCAUGAAGCACAUACAUUCAAUUCCAUUGGGCGAUAACAUCUAGGUUGAUUCAAUCUUCUGGUUGCUGGUUGAAUUGUUUGAACCAUUGUAGAUGUAACCUUAUUCAUUCAUAUCUUGGGUUCUAUUAUCUAUUAUAUCGAUUUCAUCUGUAUGGAGCACAUCUGUAUGGAGCAUUUAUGUUGGUGCUGGUAUCUUGGGUUCUAUUAUGUAUCAUAUUUACUUCAUCUGUAUGGAGCGCUUUUGUAUGAAUUAUAUUGGACUCCUGGUGCCUUAAUUUGUAAUUUAUGAUGUUAUAAUAUGGUGCUUGUAUGUAUGAUGUAAUAUAAAUUGGGCAUGUGUUUGUUUAGUUGUA